rnacentral:rRNA from 1 species
CAGUUCGGAUUGGAGUCUGCAACCCGACUCCAUGAAGCUGGAUUCGCUAGUAAUCGCGCAUCAGCCACGGCGCGGUGAAUACCGUUCCCGGGCCUUGUACACACCGCCCGUCAAGCCAUGAAAGCCGGGGGGUACCUGAAGUCCGUAACCGUAAGGAGCGGCCUAGGGUAAAACUGGUAAUUGGGGCUAAGUCGUAACAAGGUAUC